rnacentral:rRNA from 1 species
UACAGAGGUCCCGAGCGUUGUUCGGAUUCAUUGGGCGUAAAGGGUGCGUAGGCGGUUUUCUAAGUUUGAUGUGAAAUCCCGGGGCUCAACCCUGGAAUUGCAUUGAAUACUGGGAGACUAGAGUACUGGAGAGGAAACCGGAAUUUACGGUGUAGCAGUGAAAUGCGUAGAGAUCGUAAGGAAGACCAGUGGCGAAGGCGAGUUUCUGGACAGUUACUGACGCUGAGGCACGAAGGCCAGGGGAGCAAACGGG